rnacentral:rRNA from 1 species
GCUUUGAAUUGUAAUUUUGAAAUGUAUUGCCAAUGGAGGCGCAGGUGCAAGCCUAUUGAAAGAAAGCGUCAAUGAGGGUGAGAUUCCUUUUUGUCAUUUGCAGUCCUCCGUGCACGGUAUAUAUUUGACGAGUCACACUCCUCGGCAUUGGAAUGCAAAGUGGGUGGUAAAUUCCAUGUAAAGGUAAAUAUAUUAUUGAGACUGAUAGCAAACAAGUACCAUGAGGGAAAUAUGAAAAGGACUUUGAAAAGAGAAUUAAAAGAGUCUGCAUUUGCUGAACAGAAAGCAAACAGAAUUGAUUUUACUUGGUGAGAUUGUUGUGCUUACUCUAUCAUUUAUAUGGUUGAUGUGGGUGCGAUGGUUCUUACCUUGAAUGUCAGCUUCUAUUUCUGCAAAUCAUUACCCUUGCACAUGAAUGGUAACUUGCCUGCGGGUAUUGGAAUGCAUGUGUUUGCAAUGAUUUGUGAUUUGACGCAUGUGUUUGGUGAAAUUUGUAUAUGCUCUUUUGUCGAAGGGGAAAGCUUACUUUUUUGAGCAUUGCAAGCCCUUACACAUCAGUGCUGGCAAAAUGUUUCUGCUUGACCCGUCUUGAAACACGGACCAAGGAGUCUAACAGAUGUGCAAGUUCGUGGGUGGCAAACCUUUUUGCGCAAUGAAAGUAUUGGCUGGGAUACUUGCACCAGCAGCCGACCAAUUAGCAGACAGAGGUUUGAGUUUGAGCAUAUCUAUUAGGACCCGAAAGAUGGUGAACUAUGCCUGAACAGAAUGAAUUCAGAGGAAACUCUGAUGGAGGUUCGUAUCGAUACUGACGUGCAAAUCGUUCGUCAUACUUGGGUAUAGGGGCGAAAGACUAAUCGAACCAUCUAGUAGCUGGUUCCCUCCGAAGUUUCCCUCAGGAUAGCUGGAGUUGCACAGUUUUAUCAGGUAAAGCGAAUGAUUAGAGGAAUUGGGGACACGCUGUCCUUGACCUAUUCUCAAACUUUAAAUGGGUAAGAUGCAAUGGUUGCUUUAUUGAACUUUUGGAAUAAAUGGCAAUAUCAGGUGGGCCAUUUUUGGUAAGCAGAACUGGCGAUGAGGGAUGAACCUAACGUUGGGUUAAGGUGCUUAAUUGCUUGCUCAUUAGAUACCAGAAAGGGUGUUGGUUCAUUUUAACAGCAGGACGGUGGUCAUGGAAGUCGAAAUCCGCUAAGGAGUGUGUAACAACUCACCUGCCGAAUGGACUAGCCCCGAAAAUGGAUGGCGCUCAAGCGGGUGACCGAUACCCAACCACUGUUGCAAAUAGUGUCAGUGUGUAGGAGGGCAUGGCGGUUUGUGAUGCAGCCUUUG